rnacentral:lncRNA from 1 species
GAGAUCAUAGGUAAGGGGGUUGGUUACAUAGAGGGAAGGUGUUAGCACCCAAAGUGUCCUAGGUACUCCUAGGGAGCCCUUUUUGUGUGCAUAUGUAUUAGUUUUCAAAUAAAAACUAAUAAAAGUCAGAGAUCAUAGGUAAGGGGGUUGGUUACAUAGAGGGAAGGUGUUAGCACCCAAAGUGUCCUAGGUACUCCUAGGGAGCCCUUUUUGUGUGCAUAUGUAUUUUGUACAAAGUGAUGUUUACAAAC